UUCGACCCCCACUCGCUUCAAUAUCUCUCCGUUUCAGAUCACUCUCUGUCGUCUUGAAUGCGCUGCCGCCAUCCUGCACAUCAAGUAGGGUUUCAUUUUUGUUUGGCAACGAUGUCAACCACUAGAGAUUGGCGAUGCAGAAGUUUCGAUCUUGUUCAAGGAGGCAUCUUGAUCUGCAUUGUGUGAUUAGAGAUAAUUUGAGCCUUCUCUGUUUAGCUGUGCAGGAUGAACUUGGUUAUGAAAUCCGUGAUUUUGCUGACGCACCAGUCGAAGUUUCUGCUUCAGCCCCCUAGACAGACCAUGGGGCGGUGUGUUUGGAACAAAGUUGAUUGAUUUCUGAGAACUCUUCGUGCCGCAACCUUUUUUCCAGCCAUGUUAUGACGAUAUUAUUUUACAGAAGAUAUUUUCUGAUAUUGAUCUACUAAAACUCUGAACUGCACAAUCACAAACACUAGAGACCCACAAAAUGUGGGAGGCAGAAGCAGCGACCCGCAGAGCAAGAAUGACCAAGGUACAUAAUCUUUUUUUUUCCCAAGACCAAGGUACAUAGUCUGACUGGAUUAGUUUUCCAUUUG